GACGAACGCUGGCGGCGUGCCUAAUACAUGCAAGUCGAACGCAGUGGGGACGGGUGAGUAACACGUGGGUAACCUCCCAUCAGAGGGGAUAACAUUUGGAAACAGGUGCUAAACCGGUACUGAUGGAUGGACCCUCGGUGCAUUAGCUAGUUGGUGAGGUAACGGCUCACCAAGGCCACGCUGCAUAGCCGGCCUGAGAGGGUGAUCGGCCACACUGGGACUGAGACACGGCCCAGACUCCUACGGGAGGCAGCAGUAGGGAAUCUUCGGCAAUGGACGAAAGUCUGAUCGAGCAACGCCGCGUGUGUGAAGAAGGUUUUCGGAUCGUAAAACUCUGUUGUUAGAGAAGCGGUAUCUAACCAUGAAGCCACGGCUAACUACGUGCCAGCAGCCGCGGUAAUUC
rnacentral:rRNA from 1 species